UACGUAGGGCGCAAGCGUUGUCCGGAAUUAUUGGGCGUAAAGAGCUCGUAGGCGGCCUGUCGCGUCUGCUGUGAAAUCCCGGGGCUUAACCCCGGGCGUGCAGUGGAUACGGGCUGGCUGGAGGCAGGCAGGGGAGAACGGAAUUCCCGGUGUAGCGGUGAAAUGCGCAGAUAUCGGGAGGAACACCGGUGGCGAAGGCGGUUCUCUGGGCCUGUUCUGACGCUGAGGAGCGAAGGCGUGGGGAGCGAACAGG
rnacentral:rRNA from 1 species